GCCAGUGCAGCUUAGUGGUUUGAGCACUAGACUGUGACUCUGGAGACCAUGGUUCGAUUUCCCACUCGGCCA